UCCGGUUCAUCACCAGCAGUCUCCUUAGAGUCCCCACCAUGACGUGUUGGCAACUAAGGAUAGGGGUUGCGCUCGUUACGGGACUUAACCCAACAUCUCACAACACGAGCUGACGACAGCCAUGCAGCACCUGUCUCUAGGUUCCUUUCGGCACUCUCACAUCUCUGCAAGAUUCCUAGGAUGUCAAGGGUAGGUAAGGUUCUUCGCGUUGCGUCGAAUUAAACCACAUGCUCCACCGCUUGUGCGGGCCCCCGUCAAUUCCUUUGAGUUUUAACCUUGCGGCCGUACUCCCCAGGCGGAGAACUUAUCGCGUUAGCUUCGAUACUUAUGCGCUCGCGCGCACCAACAUCUAGUUCUCAUCGUUUACAGCGUGGACUAC
rnacentral:misc_RNA from 1 species